UACGGGGGGGGCAAGCGUUGUUCGGAAUUACUGGGCGUAAAGCGCACGUAGGCGGCUUGGUAUGUCGGGUGUGAAAUCCCCGGGCUCAACCUGGGAACUGCAUCCGAAACUGCCUUGCUCGAGUAUGGGAGAGGGAAGUGGAAUUUCCGGUGUAGCGGUGAAAUGCGUAGAUAUCGGAAGGAACAUCAGUGGCGAAGGCGACUUCCUGGACCAAUACUGACACUGAGGAGCGAAAGCCAGGGGAGCAAACGGG
rnacentral:rRNA from 1 species